rnacentral:rRNA from 1 species
GACGAACGCUGGCGGCGUGCUUAACACAUGCAAGUCGAACGAAGUGGCGAACGGGUGAGUAACGCGUAAUCCACCUGCCCUUCAGAGGGGGACAACAGUUGGAAACGACUGCUAAUACCGCAUACUGAAGGAGGGGAUUGCGUCUGUAGAGCGAGUGUGCGGGGGAACGGCCCACCAAGGCGAUGCUCAGGAGCGUGUUGGUGAGGCUUAACGGCCACAUUGGGACUGGGAACCGGCUCAGACUUCUACGGGAGGCAGCAGUGGGGAAUCUUCCGAAAUGGGCGAAAGUCUGACGGCGCAACGCCGCGUGAGUGAUGACGGCCUUCGGGUUGUAAAGCUCUGUUAAUCGGGACGCGGUACCGGAAUAGAAAGCCACGGCUAACUACGUGCCAGCAGCCGCGGUAAUAC